rnacentral:rRNA from 1 species
GAUGAACGCUGGCGGCGUGCCUAACACAUGCAAGUCGAACGGAAAGGCGCUGCUUUUGCGGGGUGCUCGAUUGGCGCACGGGUGAGUAACACGUGUGUAAACUCUCCCUAUCUUUGGGAUAACUCCAGGAAACUGGGGCUAAUACCGGAUAGGAGCUCCUGAUGCAUGGUGGUGGAUGGUGAGAUUCGGCGGUUGGGGAUGGUCUCGCGGCUUAUCCGCUUGUUGGUGAGGUAGUGGCUUACCAAGGCUUUGACGGGUAGGCGGCCUGGGAGGGUAGACGGCGACAAGGGGACUGAGAGACGGCCCAGACGCCUAUGUGAGGCAGCAGGGGGGAGUUUUGCGCAGUGGGCGGAAGUCUGAGGCAGCAGCGCCGCGAGCGGAAUGACGGCCUUCGGGGGGUAAACCGCUGUCUCCGGUGACAUAGCCUUAGUGACGGUAAUGGGUAAAGAAGCACCGGCUAACUACGUG